GAGUUUGAUCCUGGCUCAGAACGUACGCUGGCGGCACGCCUAACACAUGCAAGUCGAACGAAGUAGCAAUACUUAGUGGCAGACGGGUGAGUAACACGUAGGUAUCUGCCCUUUGGCCUGGAAUAACACGAGGAAACUUGUGCUAAUACCGGAUAAGUCUUUACGGAGAAAGCUUUAUGCACCAUUGGAUGAGCCUGCACUUGAUUAGUUUGUUGGUAGGGUAAUGGCCUACCAAGACUUUGAUCAAUAGCUGAUUUGAGAGGAUGAUCAGCCACAUUGGGACUGAGACACGGCCCAAACUCCUACGGGAGGCAGCAGUGGGGAAUCUUGCACAAUGGAGGAAACUCUGAUGCAGCGAUGCCGCGUGAGUGAAGAAGGCCCUUGGGUUGUAAAGCUCUUUCGUCGGGGAAGAAAAUGACUGUACCCGAAUAAGAAGGUCCGGCUAACUUCGUGCCAGCAGCCGCGGUAAUACGAAGGGACCUAGCGUAGUUCGGAAUUACUGGGCUUAAAGAGUUCGUAGGUGGUUGAAAAAGUUGGUGGUGAAAUCCCAGAGCUUAACUCUGGAACUGCCAUCAAAACUUUUCAGCUAGAGUAUGAUAGAGGAAAGCAGAAUUUCUAGUGUAGAGGUGAAAUUCGUAGAUAUUAGAAAGAAUACCAAUUGCGAAGGCAGCUUUCUGGAUCAUUACUGACACUGAGGAACGAAAGCAUGGGUAGCGAAGAGGAUUAGAUACCCUCGUAGUCCAUGCCGUAAACGAUGUGUGUUAGACGUUGGAAAUUUAUUUUCAGUGUCGCAGCGAAAGCGAUAAACACACCGCCUGGGGAGUACGACCGCAAGGUUAAAACUCAAAUGAAUUGACGGGGACCCGCACAAGUAGUGGAGCAUGUGGUUUAAUUCGAAGAUACGCGCAGAACCUUACCAACACUUGACAUGUUCGUCGCGACUCUAAGAGAUUAGAGUUUUCGGUUCGGCCGGACGAAACACAGGUGCUGCAUGGCUGUCGUCAGCUCGUGUCGUGAGAUGUUGGGUUAAGUCCCGCAACGAGCGCAACCCUCACUUUUAGUUGCCAUCAUUAAGUUGGGCACUCUGAAAGAACUGCCAGUGAUAAGCUUGAGGAAGGUGGGGAUGACGUCAAGUCCUCAUGGCCCUUACGUGUUGGGCUACACACGUGCUACAAUGGUAUCUACAACAGGAAGCAAGACUGCGAAGUUAAGCAAAUCCCUAAAAGAUACCUCAGUUCGGAUUGCACUCUGCGACUCGAGUGCAUGAAGCUGGAAUUACUAGUAAUCGUGGAUCAGCGUGCCACGGUGAAUGCGUUCCCGGGUCUUGUACACACCGCCCGUCACACCAUGGGAGUUGGUUCUACCUUAAGGCAAGGUUUCGAACCCUUGACCACGGUAUAGUCAGCGACUGGGGUGAAGUCGUAACAAGGUAACC
rnacentral:rRNA from 1 species